AAGGAACGCUGGCGGCAGGCUUAACACAUGCAAGUCGAACGCAUCCUUCGGGGUGAGUGGCAGACGGGUGAGUAACGCGUGGGAACGUGCCCUUCAGUUCGGGAUAACCCAGGGAAACUUGGGCUAAUACCGGAUACGUGCGAGAGCAGAAAGAUUUAUCGCUGAAGGAUCGGCCCGCGUCUGAUUAGCUAGUUGGUGGGGUAAUGGCCCACCAAGGCGACGAUCAGUAGCUGGUCUGAGAGGAUGAUCAGCCACAUUGGGACUGAGACACGGCCCAAACUCCUACGGGAGGCAGCAGUGGGGAAUAUUGGACGAUGGGCGCAAGCCUGAUCCAGCCAUGCCGCGUGAGUGAUGAAGGCCUUAGGGUUGUAAAGCUCUUUCGUCCGGGACGAUAAUGACGGUACCGGAAGAAGAAGCCCCGGCUAACUUCGUGCCAGCAGCCGCAGUAA
rnacentral:rRNA from 1 species